ACAAUGGAGAGUUUGAUCCUGGCUCAGGAUGAACGCUAGCUACAGGCUUAACACAUGCAAGUCGAGGGGAAACGACAUCGAAAGCUUGCUUUUGAUGGGCGUCGACCGGCGCACGGGUGAGUAACGCGUAUCCAACCUGCCCACCACUUGGGGAUAACCUUGCGAAAGUAAGACUAAUACCCAAUGAUAUCUCUAGAAGACAUCUGAAAGAGAUUAAAGAUUUAUCGGUGAUGGAUGGGGAUGCGUCUGAUUAGCUUGUUGGCGGGGUAACGGCCCACCAAGGCAACGAUCAGUAGGGGUUCUGAGAGGAAGGUCCCCCACAUUGGAACUGAGACACGGUCCAAACUCCUACGGGAGGCAGCAGUGAGGAAUAUUGGUCAAUGGACGAGAGUCUGAACCAGCCAAGUAGCGUGCAGGAAGACGGCCCUAUGGGUUGUAAACUGCUUUUAUAAGGGAAUAAAGUGAGUCUCGUGAGACUUUUUGCAUGUACCUUAUGAAUAAGGACCGGCUAAUUCCGUGCCAGCAGCCGCGGUAAUACGGAAGGUCCGGGCGUUAUCCGGAUUUAUUGGGUUUAAAGGGAGCGUAGGCCGGAGAUUAAGCGUGUUGUGAAAUGUAGAUGCUCAACAUCUGAACUGCAGCGCGAACUGGUUUCCUUGAGUACGCACAAAGUGGGCGGAAUUCGUGGUGUAGCGGUGAAAUGCUUAGAUAUCACGAAGAACUCCGAUUGCGAAGGCAGCUCACUGGAGCGCAACUGACGCUGAAGCUCGAAAGUGCGGGUAUCGAACAGGAUUAGAUACCCUGGUAGUCCGCACGGUAAACGAUGGAUGCCCGCUGUUGGUCUGAAUAGGUCAGCGGCCAAGCGAAAGCAUUAAGCAUCCCACCUGGGGAGUACGCCGGCAACGGUGAAACUCAAAGGAAUUGACGGGGGCCCGCACAAGCGGAGGAACAUGUGGUUUAAUUCGAUGAUACGCGAGGAACCUUACCCGGGCUUGAAUUGCAGAGGAAGGAUUUGGAGACAAUGACGCCCUUCGGGG
rnacentral:rRNA from 1 species